AUGCCCGCCUGAGCGUCCGCUCUGACCCACCCACCCAUCCUCUUCUGAGGACGAGUGCGAGUGGAACUGGUCGUCCGGGAACCGGAUCGCCUU
rnacentral:rRNA from 1 species